rnacentral:rRNA from 1 species
AUUGAACGCUGGCGGCAGGCCUAACACAUGCAAGUCGAGCGGAGCGGCGGACGGGUGAUUAAUGCCUAGGAAUCUGCCUGGUAGUGGGGGACCACGUCCGGAAACGGGCGCUAAUACCGCAUACUAUCAUAUGCGCCUAGGUCGGGUUCGCUGUUUGUAGUGGUAAAGUCCUACCAAGGCGACGAUCCGUAACUGGUCUGAGAGGAUGAUCAGUCACAAGGGAACUGAGACACGGUACAGACUCCUACGGAGGGCAGCAGUGGGGAAUAUUAGACAAUGGGCGAAAGCAUGAUUCAGCCAUGCCGCGUGUGUGAAGAAGGUCUUCGGAUUGUAAAGCACUGUAAGUAGGGAAGCGUUAACGACAGAAGAAGCACCGGCUAACUUCGUGCCAGCAGAAGCGGUAAUAA